UACGUAGGGGGCAAGCGUUGUCCGGAAUCAUUGGGCGUAAAGCGCACGUAGGCGGCCCGGUAAGUCCGUUGUGAAAGUCAAAGGCUCAACCUUUGAAAGCCGAUGGAUACUGCGGAGCUAGAGUACGGAAGAGGCGAGUGGAAUUCCUGGUGUAGCGGUGGAAUGCGCAGAUAUCAGGAGGAACACCAAUAGCGAAGGCAGCUCGCUGGGACGUUACUGACACUGAGGCGCGAAAGCGUGGGGAGCGAACAGG
rnacentral:rRNA from 1 species